rnacentral:rRNA from 1 species
GAUGAACGCUGGCGGCGUGCCUAAUACAUGCAAGUCGAGCGAACGGACGAGAAGCUUGCUUUUCUGAUGUUAGCGGCGGACGGGUGAGUAACACGUGGAUAACCUACCUAUAAGACUGGGAUAACUUCGGGAAACCGGAGCUAAUACCGGAUAAUAUUUUGAACCGCAUGGUUCAAAAGUGAAAGACGGUCUUGCUGUCACUUAUAGAUGGAUCCGCGCUGCAUUAGCUAGUUGGUAAGGUAACGGCUUACCAAGGCAACGAUGCAUAGCCGACCUGGGAGGGUGAUCGGCCACACUGGAACUGAGACACGGUACAGACUCCUACGGGGGGCAGCAGUAGGGAAUCUUCCGCAAUGGGCGAAAGCCUGACGGAGCAACGCCGCGUGAGUGAUGAAGGUCUUCGGAUCGUAAAACUCUGUUAUUAGGGAAGAACAUAUGUGUAAGUAACUGUGCACAUCUUGACGGUACCUAAUCAGAAAGCCACGGCUAACUACGUG